rnacentral:rRNA from 1 species
AGCCUUCAGCAAAUCAAAACAAGUAUUGAAGGUGAUGCCUGCCCGGUGACCUGAGGUUAACGGCCGCGGUAUCCUAACCGUGCAAAGGUAGCGCAAUCAAUUGUCCCAUAAAUCGAGACCAGUAUGAAUGGCUAAACGAGGUCUUGACUGUCUCUUGCAGGCAAUCGGUGAAAUUGAUCUCCCUGUGCAAAAGCAGGGAUAAACCCAUAAGACGAGAAGACCCUGUGGAACUUUAAAACCAGCAGCCACCCCAAAACAACAUAAACCCCUACUAGGCUCACUCACACAUAAGCCACUGGACUGCGUUUUUCGGUUGGGGCGACCUUGGAGAAAAACAAAUCCUCCAAAAAUUGGACCUUACCUCUAGACCAAGAGCAACCUCUCGACGUGCUAACAGCAUCCAGACCCAAUAUAAUUGAUCAAUGGACCAAGCUACCCCAGGGAUAACAGCGCAAUCUCCUUCAAGAGUCCAUAUCGACAAGGAGGUUUACGACCUCGAUGUUGGAUCAGGACAUCCUAGUGGUGCAGCCGCUACUAAUGGUUCGUUUGUUCAACGAUUAACAGUCCU